GUGGGAACCAUCGUGUGUCCUCAUAACGAGCACUGCAAGGCAGUGGCAUAAGGGUCAAAGUGAUCAUGUCUGGGUGACACUCAGAGACACUUUGUCCCUCUUUCCAUCCCCAGGGUGGCACUGCAGGCACCCAAAAAUAGCUGAGGGCUCAAGUUCAGCCUCCUCCCCAUGGCCUCGAAGGGGCUGCGAGUGGGAGCCCCUGUCCCUUGGGCAGGACAGUCAGCAGCCCCCAUGGGGACAGAGCAUGGAGCACUGUGUCACAGGGAAACACACACAGUUUAUUAUCCAACCAUGGCCCUGGGAGUCACUCAGCUACCCCCCAGAGUGCACAGUGCUCCUUUAACACACCCUCCAGGUGUCACAGGGUGGGGACAGGCCGUGGCCUGGAGGGGUCACCUGUCUCUGCUCCUCCCAGAACCAUCCUUGGGCAUCAGAGUCCCAAAUGUGCACAGCCCUGGGGCUCCCAGCAUCCCCCUGGUGCAGCAGGGCCAUGGAACACAGAUGUGCACACACAUUGACACACACACACAUGAAUAUAUGUGCACUGGGACAGCCAUCCACAGGAGAACCCAUGCACAUGGACACCCACACACAUGAACACUCACAUACAUGGACAACCACGCACAUGGGUAUUAUUGCACACUGGCAUCCAUGCACAUGGACACGGACACCCAUCUACAGCAGCACCCACGCACAUGAGCACCGGUGCAUGUGGUCAUCCACGCCCACGGACAUUAUCACACAGUGACCCCCGUGGGCAUGAAGACCCAUCGAUGUGGAUAUCCACAUCCACACACUUGGGCAUCCACGCAGCCGCACACACGGACACCCACAUGCAUGGACACCCGCACAUGUAGAUGUUAUUGCACACUGCUAUCCGUGCAAACAGACACCCAUGUGCAUGGGCACCCACGCAUGUUGAUGCAGAAAGGUGCACACACACAGACACCCACCCACAGCAGCACCCACACACACCAACCCCCACAAAUACAGACACUGACACGCAGAGGCACACACGCACACGGACACCCGUGCACAUGGGCAUUAUUGCACACUGUCACUCACACACGCAGACACCCAUGUGCACGGACACCUCUGCACAUGAGCACCCAUGCACACAGCACCCACCCCCAGCAGCACCGACUCCCACACGUGCCCAUGGACACGCUGUGGCUCUCAGUGCCACCCACCCCACACAGCUUUUCCCCUCUCCCAGCACUGCUCAGAGCAGAGUGGCCUUAGGACUCCAUUCAUCGGUCCCACAGUGACAGCUAUGGGUGACCACUCCGUUACCACCCAGAAACAGGGACAGAUAUGAGCACUGUGCCCCACUCCAUCCCUCCAGCAGCUCACCCCGGCCAUGCUCUGGAGCUGAGCCACAUGUUUUGUCCCCAGCAGUAAGUCCUAUUCCAGCGGGCAGCAGAGCUGUGAGUGGCAGAGAUGUCACCAUCCCCAAGGGUGGCUUUGCAAUACGAUCCCAGCUGAGCUCCCUGCUCCCCUGAUGCAAGGAGAACUCUGGGGUGCUCACCCUAUGGGGUGAACCCUUGGUGAGGUGCUGGCUGAGAGGAGGUUCUCCUCCCCAACCCAUCAAUGAUGCUUCCUCCAAAAAAAUAAAAAUAAAAAUAAAAAUAAGGAUCUUGGAUCACCCACUGGAAAAAGGACAGGACACGGACAUGGUACCCAAAACAUCACAGUGAACAACACUCAGACCCCCUGGGCUGCUCAUGGCAUAGCCCCCCUGGCCGCUUGCUUCUGGAAGAAAAGUGUCCUCCUGUGGGGUGAACGUCCCCAUCCUUGCCCUGUAUGGGCAUGAAGUGUCCCUUUGUCCCCACAGGUCCCUGCGUGGCUCCUCUCCUGCAGGCGAUGCUCUCGCUGCAUGGCACAAGGGCAGCGAUGCGGAUGCUCCGCAGCGUCCUCACCCCACCGCUCAGUCCCCCAGCAGGGUUAGGACGUGUCCUUCAGCUCCGGGCUUUGGGGCUGCGGUGGAGGAACUUCUGCAGAAGGUGACUGCAUCUCCUGGGAGCUGCC
rnacentral:lncRNA from 1 species